GAUGAACGCUGGCGGCGUGCCUAAUACAUGCAAGUCGAGCGAACAGACGAGGAGCUUGCUCCUCUGACGUUAGCGGCGGACGGGUGAGUAACACGUGGAUAACCUACCUAUAAGACUGGGAUAACUUCGGGAAACCGGAGCUAAUACCGGAUAAUAUAUUGAACCGCAUGGUUCAAUAGUUAAAGACGGUUUUGCUGUCACUUAUAGAUGGAUCCGCGCCGCAUUAGCUAGUUGGUAAGGUAACGGCUUACCAAGGCAACGAUGCGUAGCCGACCUGAGAGGGUGAUCAGCCACACUGGAACUGAGACACGGUCCAGACUCCUACGGGAGGCAGCAGUAGGGAAUCUUGCGCAAUGGGCGAAAGCCUGACGGAGCAACGCCGCGUGAGUGAUGAAGGUCUUCGGAUCGUAAAACUCUGUUAUUAGGGAAGAACAAAUGUGUAAGUAACUAUGCACGUCUUGACGGUACCUAAUCAGAAAGCCACGGCUAACUACGUG
rnacentral:rRNA from 1 species